UUAGUAACGGCGAGUGAAGCGGCAAAAGCUCAAAUUUGAAAUCUGGUACCUUUGGUGCCCGAGUUGUAAUUUGGAGAGUACCACUUUGGGACUGUACUUUGCCUAUGUUCCUUGGAACAGGACGUCAUGGAGGGUGAGAAUCCCGUGUGGCGAGGGUGUCAGUUCUUUGUAAAGGGUGCUCGAAGAGUCGAGUUGUUUGGGAAUGCAGCUCUAAGUGGGUGGUAAAUUCCAUCUAAAGCUAAAUACAGGCGAGAGACCGAUAGCGAACAAGUACAGUGAUGGAAAGAUGAAAAGAACUUUGAAAAGAGAGUGAAAAAGUACGUGAAAUUGUUGAAAGGGAAGGGCAUUUGAUCAGACAUGGUGUUUUGCGCCCCUUGCCUCUCGUGGGCUUGGGACUCUCGCAGCUCACUGGGCCAGCAUCGGUUUUGGCGGCCGGAAAAAACCUAGGGAAUGUGGCUCUGCGCCUCGGUGUAGAGUGUUAUAGCCCUGGGGAAUACGGCCAGCCGGGACCGAGGACUGCGAUACUUGUUAUCUAGGAUGCUG
rnacentral:rRNA from 1 species